rnacentral:rRNA from 1 species
AUUGAACGCUGGCGGCAGGCCUAACACAUGCAAGUCGAGCGGAUGAAGGGAGCUUGCUCCUGGAUUCAGCGGCGGACGGGUGAGUAAUGCCUAGGAAUCUGCCUGGUAGUGGGGGAUAACGUCCGGAAACGGGCGCUAAUACCGCAUACGUCCUGAGGGAGAAAGUGGGGGAUCUUCGGACCUCACGCUAUCAGAUGAGCCUAGGUCGGAUUAGCUAGUUGGUGGGGUAAAGGCCUACCAAGGCGACGAUCCGUAACUGGUCUGAGAGGAUGAUCAGUCAACACUGGAAUUGAGAAAGGGCCCGAACCCCUAGGGAGGGCGGCGGUGGGAAAAUUUGGAAAUGGGGGGAAAGCCUGUUCCAGCCAUGCCGGGUUGUUGAAAGGGGUUUUCGGUUUUAAAAGCAUUUUAGGUGGGGAGGAAGGGCAUGAAGUUAAACCCUUGCUUUUUGAACGUUACAAACAAAAAAGGCCCGGGCAAACUUCUG